UGGUUGCAGAGUAAGGGAGGAAGUUCUCCCCUGUAUGGCUUCAGAUGAUGUCACACCUGCUGGGUAACACCCCUUCCCAGUCUGUGAACCUGAACAUGAGGCUGAGCAGAAAAUACAGAGCAAUAUCAAGCUUUUAGCAAUUCUAGAGCGGUACAGACAGCAUGCUGACAGCUCUCUGACUGCGGGGCAAAUGAUUCUUAAUGGCAGCGAUAGAAGGCCAUCUGCUGCAAAAUCCACUUCUGCAUUCUAGAUCUCUUAAGGCCCGCAUACUAAACUUGCAAAUCCCUUUAUAAACUGAUAUUGCCAUAGGAAGCAGAGGGUGAGUCCUCAUUUCACCUUGGAUGUCUGCAAGACAAUACAUUUAGGCUGGGUACUCAACAGAAUUUCUGCUGAUUGUCUCACCAGGGGACACGGCCCCAGCAUCCUUCUCCGAGCUUCCAUAAGAAAGGUUGUGCUGCUGCUAUCAAA